rnacentral:rRNA from 1 species
CGAGUUUGAUCUUGGCUCAGAUUGAACGCUGGCGGCAUGCUUUACACAUGCAAGUCGAACGGGCUUAGGGGCUUGCUCCUAAGUUAGUGGCGAACGGGUGAGUAAUACAUCGGAACGUACCGUGUAGUGGGGGAUAACGUAGCGAAAGUUACGCUAAUACCGCAUACGAUCCACGGAUGAAAGCAGGGGACCUUCGGGCCUUGUGCUAUACGAGCGGCCGAUGUCUGAUUAGCUAGUUGGUGAGGUAAAGGCUCACCAAGGCGACGAUCAGUAGCGGGUCUGAGAGGAUGAUCCGCCACACUGGGACUGAGACACGGCCCAGACUCCUACGGGAGGCAGCAGUGGGGAAUUUUGGACAAUGGGCGCAAGCCUGAUCCAGCCAUGCCGCGUGAGUGAAGAAGGCC